rnacentral:lncRNA from 10 species
GUAGUAGAGGGAGCAUCAGGUGGUAGGUGGGGCCCUAGAGCUCCCAAGAGGUUAAGUCCUUUUUCUUGGGCUAUCAGGGCAGGAAGGCAGGGAUUUCAACCUGGGCAACAAGUCCACAGAACAUGAGAUUUCUGAAGGUGUGUGGGAUACAUCAUGGUUACAUAAAAAUCCUUUCACUAUAGUUCCUGCUUCCCUAUCUUCAAAAUGAUUCCCUGAAGACUUCCGCCAUGACGGUCUAAAGCCUAACCUCUGAACUGUGGAUGGAAAAUUGAACUCCUUGAUGUGAUCUCUGCACAUCAUGCAACCCUAAACCUAAAUAUAUUCUCUGUGUGGGAGCCCCAUUAUUUUUAGUCUAAUACAUUUUAAGUCAUCUUAAAAAAUUAUAUUUUGUUUUCUUUUAUAUGGUCGAUUUUACCUUGUUUUCUUUGACUAUUACUUGUUGUCUUGUAUGAGAUUCUACUGGUCUCAAGGCUUAAACCUCACAAUCUUCAGGGUCUGAUGGAUUUCUCUCUAUUUUCUAAGUUCCCUGGGAUAUGUUUGAUGAGUUUUUGUGGCAGAGAAGCAGAGAAAGGAGAAAGGUGAUGUCUAUACUACUUCCUUUUUCUCCCCAGCCACAAAUGCCAGAGUCUAUAAAGAGACCCUGAGAAGCAAGCUCUGUGCAGAGUCACUUCUAAGAAAUACCAGGAUAAAAUGUAGGUGAGAGACAUUUGUGUGAAAAAAGGGAUGAGAGAGAGGAGGAAGGAUUGAGAAAAUUUUCAAGGCAGAAAGGGACCUAUAUCUUCUAAUUUGGCAAAAUGGGAGAGGUAGGUAGGAGAUGGGAAUGCUCUCUUAUCUAUCUCGCCUUUUGGAUGGAGAUUAAUAACACAACCCAGGAGAAAGUGAUCCUUAGGAAGCCCAAAUGACUGAAAACAGCCCUCGAGUAUACCAAUUGGACAAGUUGGGGUGAAGGAGACCUAGUUAUUGUAAUACAUAGGUAGAGAUUGUGGUUGUGAGACUGUUGGGUGAUUAACUCAUAGAUGUUCCAAAGUCAUCUGUCAGCUAAAAUAGCUGUCAUUAGGAAUGCUUGAAAGGUUUCAAAGAAUACUUCAGUAGCAAUGAGCAUACCUAGGACCUAGAUCUGGGCUUCUAAAUCUCAUUCUCCACUAAAAGAAUCUGGGUCUCCUUGCACAAGUGGCUGAUUCCAGGUCCAGGGCGUGAAAAGUACAAAGUGAACUUGGAACAUUUCUGUGCCACAAAGCAAGAAAGUGAUCAAAGAAUAAAGGGGACAUGUUGCAAAGGACCCAGGAGCUUGCUUAAAGAGGCUUCCAUUACCUACAUUUGAGAUAAUCUGAGUAUCAUCAUGACUAUUGAUGAUAAUGGAAUAUAACCCAGAUAACAAAAUAAAAAUCUGUAAGUCCAUACUAAUGUAAGUAAAUAAAUGAGGAAAUAAAUGAUGGAGAAGUGAACUCUUUUCCUUAUAGUAGAAUCCCAAAGAAUAAAGAUAGAGAAAAUGAUGGACUUGGAAAAUCACCAUUUGGCAGUCCCUAUAGUAAUAAUUGUUUCAGGUAAAAAUAAACAGAUUCGAAAAUCAGAGUAUGAUGAAAACCAGGAUACUUAAUAUACAUUGUCUCAAAGUAUAUCUCUACAACAUAUUUAUUAAUUUCAAAGAAAAAACUUUCUUUACAUUGGAUAAACCUGAUAGAAAUCACCUCGACUAUAUGAUCAAAGUUCACAUCACCAAUAAUGGGACACAUAGACAUCAUGUGCUUCCUGAGAAGGACAUAACAACAUUUCUAUGAUAUUUCUGUCAAAAAUGCAUAAUCUGAAUCUAAUCAUGAAGGGGUAAUCAGACUAACCCAAAUCAAAGGUUUGUCUACACAAUAACUAGUUUGAAUUAUUCAAAUACUGAGAUCAUGAAAUAAAAGAAAGAAUGAACUGUUUCAGAUUAAAGAAGAACAAACAGACAUGACAACCAAAUGUAACUUGUGAUUCUGGAUUUAUCCCUGGACAAUGUAAAGCACAUUAGUGGGGCAACUGGCAAAAUCUGCAUAUGUAAUUUGUCUACAAAUUGUCCACAAAUUGGAUAAUAGUUUUGGUAUUGGUAAUGGUAAUGAUAUUAUAUCAGUGUUAAUUGUCUGAUUUUGGUAAUUGCACUGUGAUUAUUGAAGAGAAUAUCAUGAUUUUUAGAAACUACAACUGCAGUAUGUAAAGCUAAAGAAAUAUUCUGUCUGAAAUUUGCUCUCUGGGACCUAUAUCUUCUAAUUUGGUGAAAUAGGUAGGAGAGGUAUGUAGGAGGAAUUUGUUUUAGGAAACAAAUUGUAUAUCUUUGUAUAUGUGAAUGACAAAGAAAGUGUGAUAAAAUGAUAAUACUAGAGGAAUACUUGAGAUGCA